GAUGAACGCUGGCGGCGUGCCUAAUACAUGCAAGUCGAGCGAACGGACGAGAAGCUUGCUUCUCUGAUGUUAGCGGCGGACGGGUGAGUAACACGUGGAUAACCUACCUAUAAGACUGGGAUAACUUCGGGAAACCGGAGCUAAUACCGGAUGAUAUUUUGAACCGCAUGGUUCAAAAGUGAAAGACGGUCUUGCUGUCACUUAUAGAUGGAUCCGCGCUGCAUUAGCUAGUUGGUAAGGUAACGGCUUACCAAGGCAACGAUGCAUAGCCGACCUGAGAGGGUGAUCGGCCACACUGGAACUGAGACACACUCCAGACUCCUACGGGAGGCAGCAGUAGGGAAUCUUCGGCAAUGGGCGAAAGCCGGACGGGGCAACGCCGCGUGAGAGAUGAAGGUCUUCGGAUCGUAAAACUCUGUUAUUAGGGAAGAACAUAUGUGUAAGUAACUGUGCGCAUCUUGACGGUACCUAAUCAGAAAGCCACGGCUAACUACGUG
rnacentral:rRNA from 1 species